rnacentral:snRNA from 1 species
GGCUCUUCCUAUCAUUGUG